rnacentral:rRNA from 1 species
ACCAGACUCCUACGGGAGGCAGCAGUGGGGAAUAUUGCACAAUGGGGGGAACCCUGAUGCAGCAACGCCGCGUGGGUGAAGAAGUAUUUCGGUAUGUAAAGCCCUAUCAGCAGGGAAGAAGAUGACGGUACCUGACUAAGAAGCCCCGGCUAAAUACGUGCCAGCAGCCGCGGUAAUACGUAUGGGGCAAGCGUUAUCCGGAUUUACUGGGUGUAAAGGGAGCGCAGGCGGCGCGGCAAGUCAGAUGUGAAAGCCCGGGGCUCAACCCCGGGACUGCAUUUGAAACUGCCGUGCUGGAGUGUCGGAGAGGCAAGUGGAAUUCCUAGUGUAGCGGUGAAAUGCGUAGAUAUUAGGAGGAACACCAGUGGCGAAGGCGGCCUGCUGGACAGUAACUGACGUUGAGGCUCGAAAGCGUGGGGAGCAAACAGGAUUAGAUACCCCCGUAA